AUCUGCCUCCACCAUCACCACCUCCACCACACCCGCCUCCACCACCACCACCACCAUUAUUUUUACCGCAAGAAAAUAUGACCAUAGAUAUAAUUGAGAGAGAAAUGAGGAACAUGCCAAACAAAUACAAGACCCUUAAGCCUGAAGCUACUUCGACCUCUUCAGCAUGAUCAUGAAGGCCUUGUAAGGAUUGGGGUGAUAAGAGGAUUUUACCCCUUAUUAACUGCUCUGGUGGAAAAGUGAAGGUCGGAAACUCACACCUUUGUAUUGCCAGUGGGUGAGGUUACUGUGACACUGGAAGAUGUCACUCAUAUUUAUGGCCUACCCAUUGAUGAAAAGCCUGUGAACAGCUGGACAGAUAGUAGUAGCGAUUUCCUACAGAGGCAGAGGAUCGCGAUAUUCGGUCGCAAACCGGUUGUCGGUAAUUCUUCGAAAUCUUAUAUAAAGUUGGGUUGAGUUUGACGUAUUAGAUAUGCAAAGCCAUUGGACACUGUAGAGUCUAUUAAGAGAUACGUUAGAUGCCAGAUUUUAUGUUUGUUGGGUUUGACUCUAUUCAAGGAUAAGUCGACCGCAUAUGUCCAUGCAAAGUAUCUAUCGUUACUCGCGAUUUCAAACGGAUCCAUACUUAUAGUUGGGGGUAAGUAUGUCUCACACAUCUUUAUAGAGCACUAUACCGUGUAUUACGGUAUGAUACAAAGGAGAUGGAUGGUCCUCUUAAUCUGUUGUUUGUUUGGGCAUGGGAGUGACUGCCGUGUAUUGCGCUCGUAUCGAGACAAACUCUUCCACUAGCUGAGAUACCAGUUGUCAUGAGGUGGAGUCAUUCGGCACGGACCACAGUGUGGUUAUCGAAGAUCGCAUCGAGAUUUAGGCAGGAUAUAGACUACAUAAACGAGGUAAAUAUUUAGGUUUUGUGUGAUUUUCAUUUCCAAACAUUAAUAUUAGGGUCCUAAUUUUCCAAUAAUGUUUAGCAGUUUGAGUGGCGACCAUACGAAGGAUUGAUCAUACCGACGAGUUACAUGGACAUCUUGAGGUGUGUGACAUAGUUGCUCCGUUGUUGUCACUCGAGUGUGUCGAAUGACACCCUGUGAAUUGAGUGAUGCGUCAAUUUAGGUAUGCACAACCACCCCCGCGAGUAGCAAGAGACAUUCCACUGGACCAGCAUUGCAUCACUCUUCACGGAGUGUAACUUUAUGACUGGACAGUUUUACAUGGGGGAUGGAUAGAGGAAUGGGACAACCGUCGAAACAAUCGGUUGCGGGAUCUGCACCCACUUCCGGUGUGGGACUUUAGACCAUCGGUGGAGUACCGGGAUUGGUACGUGAGUUCGUACGGACAUCUGCUGAAAUUGUCGAAACACGUUCCUCAGCAUCGAUAUCAGCCACCAGUACCUUAGGAUCCACCUCAAUAUAUAGUGUUUGAGCUGUUUCCUUAUUAUGUACCACAGCCACCAGACUAAUACUAAUACCAAUAACAAUAUCUAAUAUGUACAGAUCUCAUUCUCCUUCUUCUUU